rnacentral:lncRNA from 1 species
AACAUAACCUGAUGGAUAAAUUGCUAUAAAACGGUUUCCAGAUAGCGAUGAGUCUAGUUCUGGACACAGAUGAAGUCUAGUUCUGGACACAGAUUAAGUCUAGUUCUGGACACAGAUUAAGUCUAGUUCUGGACACAGAUUAAGUCUAGUUCUGGACACAGAUGAAGU